rnacentral:rRNA from 1 species
GGGCCUACGGGAGGCAGCAGUGGGGAAUAUUGGACAAUGGGGGCAACCCUGAUCCAGCAAUGCCGCGUGUGUGAAGAAGGCCUGCGGGUUGUAAAGCACUUUCAAUCGUGAAAAAAAGCUCAUGGAUAAUACCCAUGAGUCUUGAUGUUAACGAUACAAGAAGCACCGGCUAACUCCG